rnacentral:SRP_RNA from 1 species
CGAGGCUGAUGGCGGGCGGGGUGUCCGUAAACCCGGUCAGGUCCGAGAGGAAGCAGCCGUAGCGGGUGCGCUCCGGGUCGCCAUCAGUCCAUGUC